rnacentral:rRNA from 1 species
CACGUAGGGCGCAAGCGUUGUCCGGAAUUAUUGGACGUAAAGAGCUCGUAGGCGGUUUGUCGCGUCUGCUGUGAAAACUCGGGGCUUAACCCCGGGCCUGCAGUGGGUACGGGCAGACUAGAGUGCGGUAGGGGAGACUGGAAUUCCUGGUGUAGCGGUGAAAUGCGCAGAUAUCAGGAGGAACACCGGUGGCGAAGGCGGCGACCUGGGUAGAUACUGACGCUGAGGCGCGAAAGCGUGGGGAGCAAACAGG